rnacentral:rRNA from 1 species
UUAGUAGCAGCUUGUGCAGUUGAUGCACACAGUUUUGUAUUUCCAGUUGCCUACGGUGUGCUGGAGACAGAGUCUAAGGAGAGCUGGACUUGGUUUUUGCAUAAUCUGCGCCGGGCUAUUGCACAUCCCAAUGGGUUGGUCAUUCAUACAGAUGCCUGCAAAGGUUUAGAAGUGGCCGUGGACAAUGCGUUCCUUGGAGUAGAGCAUAGGGAAUGCAUGCGUCACCUUGCUGCAAAUUUCAUGAAGAAAUUCAAAGGAAAGGUGUAUACCGACAAUUUAUGGCCAGCAUCUUUGACUUGCACUGUGAAGAAGCACAACUACCACUUGAGGCAGUUAUACAUGAAUCCCAAAGUGAAAGAAUACUUGGAAACACACCACUCCAAGUUAUGGGCCAGAAGCCAAUUCAGUGAACUGAGCAAAGUUGACUAUGUGCACAAUAAUCUAGCAUAG